rnacentral:rRNA from 1 species
AGUGAACGCUGGCGGUAGGCCUAACACAUGCAAGUCGAACGGCAGCACAGUAAGAUCUUGCUCUUACGGGUGGCGAGUGGCGGACGGGUGAGGAAUACAUCGGAAUCUACUUUUUCGUGGGGGAUAACGUAGGGAAACUUACGCUAAUACAGCAUACGACCUACGUGUUUAAGCAGUGGAUCUUCGGACCUUGCGCGAUUGAAUGAGCCGAUGUGGGAUUAGCUAGUUGGCGGGGUAAAGGCCCACCAAGGCGACGAUCCGUAGCUGGUCUGAGAGGAUGAUCAGCCACACUGGAACUGAGACACGGUCCAGACUCCUACGGGAGGCAGCAGUGGGGAAUAUUGGACAAUGGGCGCAAGCCUGCUCCAGCCAUACCGCGUGGGUGAAGAAGGCCUUCGGGUUGUAAAGCCCUUUUGUUGGGAAAGAAAAGCAGCAGGUUAAUACCCCGCUGUUCUGACGGUACCCAACGAAUAAGCACCGGCUAACUUCGUG